CGCAGAGGGCAGACACCAUUUUCCUCCUCGCACAGACCCAAGGAAAGCUAUGUGCUGUAAAUUUUCUGCUGUACUCUUUGACUUCCAAAGAUCACUUGUCCAUGAGUGAUUGUCUGAGACUGUGUUCUCCAGGAGAGAACAUGAAGAAAGGGUCCUGAGAGUAGCUGGAGCCAGUUCAUAGGCCACUUCAGGGUCUAUAACCAAGGUUUGUAUGCCUAUUACCUGAUGCACAAGUGGUUGGCAUAUGGUACUGGAUCCCAAAACUCCCAAAAAGUUUCCCAAACUUUCUGAUUUGUUUCCAACAAAAAUCGGUGUUGGUAAGAUGAAUAAAAACCUAAGCAUGGGAAGAAGUUGAUGGAUAGCUUUCUGUGGUGCACAUGGAAAAAUCCUCUUCAGGAAAGUAUCCAAAUUACUAACUGGAAAAGGGUGGAAAGAAUAACUCAUGUCAGUAAAAAAAAUUUAUGAAAAAACCAAAAGGUCAGAAUUUUGGAUAUUUGUAAGUUAAGGUGUACUUUGACUUGUUCUGGAGAGAUUCAAAAACUACAAUUGAACUGAAUUACUUCCAAUGAAAUUACUUGGCUCAAAUAAUUUCCUAUUUCAUUACCUUUCUUGCCAUGAGGACAAGUGAAAUAGACCAGUGCAACUAGUAAGCCAAAUUACACAAUAUUUUUGGGGAGGCCUUGAAACAUGACAGUGUAAACUAGAUUGCAUCCACAUUUCUCUUUGUGUACUAUUACUG